CCACACAGUCAGAUAUUUCACCCAGAAAAUCUGAGGGCCCUACAAAGCUAACCAGUGCUGCACUUGUGCCCGAGAAGAUCCUCGGUUCUGUCAGUAUGAGACAACAAGAAGUUCGUGUGAAGAGUGGACCUGCUGGUCAUCAAAACUAUAGAAAAUCUUCAGACCAUAUGAUACAUGGUGGAAGAAACCAUAAUGUGACCUUGUAAGAAGGAGCAGCAGAAAAGGACUGAAAUUGUGAGAAUUACAAACAAUUCUCUUCUUCCAGCUACACUUACUUCAGGACACUGAAUCAGUCAUAUAAUUACCUGCACUUUUAUUAGGAGAAGAUGACUGUCAAAACAAACAUGUGAAGAAUUCCUGCAGCUAUUUGCAAUGGAAAAGAGAUAAGAAAACAGAACUGUGGGAACUGAUGAUUUAGAUUUACAAGUGGUUUUACUGCUCUGGGAGAAUGGAAGUGACUUCAGCCUGCACAAAAUUCUGAUGAGGAGAAAAUAGUACAUCUUGACUUACCAGAUGUAAAAUAUUUAAUCAUGAAAACAUCCGCAGUGGGGCAGAAAAUAACUCAUCAAAUCACAGUUAUUAACUUUUAUUAAAAAGAAGUUUACAGUUUUUAGCAAGUAAAUGCAUCAAGUGCUAAAUUUUAAAUUGGAUUAAUUAAUUGUUUGCAUCAUUAUUAUGAA